CUUCAGACUGGGACAACUAAUCGAAAGGUUAGCUAAUACCGGAUAUUAUGAGACCUUGGCAUCAAGGACUUAUGAAAGCUAUAUGCGCUGAAGGAGAACUUUGCGUUCCAUUAGGUAGUUGGUAGGGUAAUGGCCUACCAAGCCGACGAUGGAUAGCCGGCCUGAGAGGGUGAACGGCCACAAGGGGACUGAGACACGGCCCUUACUCCUACGGGAGGCAGCAGUGGGGAAUAUUGGACAAUGGACCAAAAGUCUGGUCCAGCAAUUCUGUGUGCACGAUGAAGGUCUUCGGAUUGUAAAGUGCUUUCAGGUGGGAAGAAGAAAGUGACGGUACCACCAGAAGAAGCGACGGCUAAAUACGUGCCAGCAGCCGCGGUAAUACGUAUGUCGCAAGCGUUAUCCGGAAUUAUUGGGCGUAAAGCGAGUCUAGGCGGCUUGUUAAGUCAGAUGUGAAAAUGCGGGGCUCAACUCCGUAUUGCGUUUGAAACUGGCAGGCUAGAGUACUGGAGAGGUGGGCGGAACUACAAGUGUAGAGGUGAAUUCGUAGAUAUUUGUAGGAAUGCCGAUAGUGAAGACAGCUCACUGGACAGA
rnacentral:rRNA from 1 species